rnacentral:pre_miRNA from 1 species
AUUGUGGUAUCAGGACUAUGUUAUGUGAAUGUUGUUACACAAUAUUGUGUUACUCAUCUGUAUAACCUAGCUCUGAUACCAUGAA